UACGGGGGGGGCAAGCGUUGUUCGGAAUUACUGGGCGUAAAGGGCUCGUAGGUGGCCAACUAAGUCAGACGUGAAAUCCCUCGGCUUAACCGGGGAACUGCGUCUGAUACUGGAUGGCUUGAGUUUGGGAGAGGGACGCGGAAUUCCAGGUGUAGCGGUGAAAUGCGUAGAUAUCUGGAGGAACACCGGUGGCGAAGGCGGCGUCCUGGACCAAUACUGACACUGAGGUGCGAAAGCGUGGGGAGCAAACAGG
rnacentral:rRNA from 1 species